rnacentral:rRNA from 1 species
AAAUUGAAGAGUUUGAUCAUGGCUCAGAUUGAACGCUGGCGGCAGGCCUAACACAUGCAAGUCGAACGGUAACAGGAAGAAGCUUGCUUCUUUGCUGACGAGUGGCGGACGGGUGAGUAAUGUCUGGGAAACUGCCUGAUGGAGGGGGAUAACUACUGGAAACGGUAGCUAAUACCGCAUAACGUCGCAAGACCAAAGAGGGGGACCUUCGGGCCUCUUGCCAUCGGAUGUGCCCAGAUGGGAUUAGCUAGUAGGUGGGGUAACGGCUCACCUAG